AGUGUUGCUUCUUCUUCCAUUGAGGGAUGAUUUAUCCUAGCUAACUUGUUGAGGUGCAUGCACCAUUCAUCAACGCCUACCUGUUGGCAUCAUCAACAAUCUUCAAAGUGGGUGACGGAAAGAAAUUGUUUUCCAGUUUUAAAAUAUUAAGCACAACUCAGCCACAUAAUAACGCACUGGAUUACGCUAAGAACCUGUUGAAACGCGCGCAGCCCCCGGGCGCGAUAGGAGAAAAGGAAGAACGAGAGGAGGAAAAACUAAAGCCAGCGCGCAGCUCUGAUGGUACCCCUGACGCAGUAAGAAGAAAAAAAGAUCGAGAGGAGGAAGAACGGUACAUUUGGAAGGGGGAGACUGUUCUGCCGUCUACACAGUGUAAGUAUGCCAAAGCACGUGUUGGAAGGGAGAGAAAAAAUUGGAAUAAACCGCAUGCGAAUGUGUGCAUACAGCAAAUGUAAACAUGUGUGCCUCAUCAUUUCUAUAAGCAAUCCGAAAAAGGGGUGGAGCAAACACAUUUGUAUGCGUGAGGUGCAGAAGAAAUCAGAACGUUAUAGUAUGUGUGAACGCGAUCGUUCGGGUGG